AUACACCCGCGGGUCGGAAUCGAUUACAGCGCAUUGCACCUUAUGCGCAGCGCUGCAUUAUUAUGCGCUGUAAUCGAUUCCGACCCGCGGGUGUAAC
rnacentral:pre_miRNA from 1 species